GCUGGGUCCUCCAUGGAGUUUGAGCUGGGCAUGGCUACUGAAGGCCUUGUGAGUGAAGCUGAGGGUGGAAUCCGAGAGUGGGAGGAGGAGGAGAAGGAGGAGGAGGCAGCAGAGAGGACACCCACGGGAGAAAAGUCUCCAAACUCUCCCGGGACUUUGCUGUCUCUGAGAGGGAAGGCCUGGACGGGGGGCCGCAUGGAAGUCAAGCUGGAGCUGCACCCCUUGCAGAACAGGUGGGCUCUGUGGUUCUUCAAGAAUGACCGCAGCCGGGCCUGGCAGGACAACCUGCACCUGGUCACCAAGGUGGACACUGUGGAGGACUUCUGGGCGCUAUACAGUCACAUCCAGCUGGCCAGCAAGCUCUCCUCUGGCUGUGACUAUGCCCUCUUCAAGGAUGGCAUCGAGCCCAUGUGGGAGGACAGCAGGAAUAAGCGGGGUGGCCGCUGGCUGGUCAGCCUGGCCAAGCAGCAGCGCCACAUUGAGCUGGACCGGCUGUGGCUGGAGACGGUGAGUUGGAGGAGGAGGGUCCUCAGGGGAAGAGACGGGCUGUGUGGGUCUCAUAGU
rnacentral:sRNA from 1 species